UCAUCACGCUUGUAGUCGCGCAUCUUCCGAUCACGCUCCAGUGAGGGAAUUAAGGAUGGCACGUUGUCCUAGUAACGGGGAUCCAGCAGGCUGGCCACCCAGUAAUAAGCACAAGUUAGAAUGAGGGCAACUCGGCAGUCAUUACGCAGGCCCUUUGGUGACUCUAGAUAACCUCGGACCGAUCUCACGUCCCCGUGACGGCGACGAUGCAUUCGGAUGUCUGUCCUAUCAACUUUUGAUUGUUCUUUUUGCACCUACCAUGGUGACCACGGGUAACGGGGAAUCAGGGUUCGAUUCCGGAGAGGGAGCCUGAGAAACGGCUACUGCAUUCAAGGAAGGCAGCAGGUGCACAAAUUACCCUUUCCCGACGCUGGGAGGUAGUGACGAUAAAUAACAAUGCCGAACUCUUUCGAGGCCCUGUAAUUGGAAUGAGUACACUUUAAAUCCUUUAACAAGGAUCUAUUGGAUGGCAAGUCUGCUGCAGCUGAAACUCCACU